UGUAACCUGUAAAAGGCAGAAAGAGAUAUGGUGUUGGAUUGCGGGUUUCUUUACAUCAACACUCGAAUUGCAUUCAUUAUACGUUUCAAGCUUUCUUGGAAAUUCUUUUGGAAAUGAACUGGGUUUCACAUACACAAAUUGCAUUCAUUGUACUUCCUAGUGUGGAUUUGAGAGAGAGAGAGAGA